rnacentral:lncRNA from 1 species
UGACACCUGUCGAGCCAAAUUUCAAGCCCCGAGGCUCCAAAAAAUUAAGAAGACAACGAAAAGUAAAUUUUCUUACCUUGGUGCGGUGUGAAGACGAAGAAAGCAAUGAAAGACUAUCCUUUGCACUUGAAAGUGUAAAAGAUUGCUAGGGGAGGAGGAACAAAUAUCCUCUAACUUUCUCCUUCUUGUAGGGUAGACUAAACUACUAUCUGAAGUUGAUUUAAUCAUCUACUUAAGGUAGACUUAAAUAGACUUUGGAAGUGAUUUAUUUCCCUUUCCUAGAAGGAUCUAAUUUGCAAUUAAUGUGAGAAUCUACAUCAAAAUAGGAAACAAUCAUAUAUUUCCUAAAGCAAGGGAAGAUCUCUACACCUGCUGCCCUUUCCUGCGAGCAACCCAACAUUUGUGGGGGCAUUUGUGAAGACAAAAAUAAUCAAGAAAAUUAUGGAGGUGACAUGUGGACUUUUGGGUAAAAUGAUAAAAUUACCCUCGAGGCACACCAGGAUUCCCACGCACAUGCAACGGACAAUAACGGCUCAAUCAAGGAAGAGUCAAAGGUGAUUAAAAUGACAUUUAUUCAAAUCUCUCUCAUCACUCCUCAUCAAAUCUUUAUUCAAAAAGUAACUCCCAAUUUUCCUAUUCAAUUUAGGUUUAAUUGCCAAGUUAAUUGCAAGAUAUUAUUUCACAUAAUAUCUUGCAAUUAUACUCACAAUUUGACAAAAUAUGGCCUGCCCUUAUUCUCCAAAUAGGGCCGAUCACUCCCCUAUAAAUAGUCAUAUUCUCCCAC